UCAAAUAGCCGCGCUACGAAAGUUUCACUCAAAUUUAAAUAGCGCGCCCGAAAGUGACGGUUUGGGGCACAGUACAUAAGGACUAUUGUCGCUUAAUUUUGCGAGCUGUCAUAUCUCUAUUAUCUCUGCUAUUACUUUGUUAAAAUAAAUUUUACGUUUGUUUUUAACCUCAUAACCCAACAUCCCGUAUGAUCCCGUAAUUAAUAUGACAUUUCUUGUUGACAAAACCAGACAAAACGUUCACCGAAAACCUUAAAAUGAAAAAGAAACUAUGUUCUUCAAGGUCGGAGCACCUUUAGUGACGCUAGUGACCUCUUUAUGUCGUUCCGUAAGCUCCCCAUGUAUUUCUUAUGGAAUCAGCUGAGACUUUCAUAGCCCUAUGAGGUUAAAAACAAACGUAAAAUUUAUUUUAACAAAGUAAUAGAUACUUACGAUACAUGUAAAAAAUACUAGAAAAUUCCAGGCUAAAGAGGUCAACAAACUGCAGGUUAAACGAAAUAGUUUAAUUUUCGAUGUGUGCGUGUUUGAGCGGUCCAAGAUUUAUUUUUAAAUUUUAGUGUGUAAAAAAUUCCAACUAAUAAAAACUGAAACGAGGUAAUCAAGAGGAAAGUCUUUGCAGGGGUGGUGGAAUGGUAUUUUUGUAUGGUUCGUUUUUUAGCCGCAAACCAGUUAACGACUACGGUGCAUAAAUUGGGAAAAACUCAUAAAAUGUAUUACCCAUCGGAGUAUAAACUACAAAAUGUUUAGGUGGUAUCAUUAAAUCCCCAAAAAUCACAUCUUCAUUGAAGACUUUAAAAUGUCACACAAUUAAAACAGGAUGUACCACUUCGUAAGAAUGUGCAAAGUUCACAACAAACUUCGCAGAAGUGGUGAUGUGAGUUUCCGGUAACUCACAUCACUUAAUGAUUGUUGAAGAGGCUGGAAUACAGAGGAGAUGUGUUGUGGAAGUUUGUUUAAAAGAACACCUUAGCAAAUUUUUCAUUUCAAAUAAAAUAGUGUUUCACAGUUGGUUCUUGCACUCGUAUCGAAAUAAUCUGUAGUAAAUAGUUUCCGAAACACACUUUGGAAUUGUGUUGGUGUGGGAUUUAUACAAUUCCCAAAUUGACGUCUCACAGAGCCAAACAAAUAUGUCAAACAAUACUGAUUUAGUUGCAGCAACCUUUUAGUGAAAAUUGUAAACAAAUUGUAUUCUGUGAAAACUAUUAAAAAUAAUAAGCAAAAUGUUUAUGUUCC